CCUACGGGUGGCAGCAGUGGGGAAUAUUGCACAAUGGGGGAAACCCUGAUGCAGCGACGCCGCGUGAGUGAAGAAGUAUUUCGGUACGUAAAGCUCUAUCAGCAGGGACGAAAAUGACGGUACCUGACUAAGAAGCCCCGGCUAACUACGUGCCAGCAGCCGCGGUAAUACGUAGGGGGCAAGCGUUAUCCGGAUUUACUGGGUGUAAAGGGAGAGUAGACGGCAGCGUAAGUCUGGAGUGAAAUCCCAGGGCUUAACCAUGGAACUGCUUUGGAAACUGUGCAGCUAGAGUGCAGGAGAGGUAAGCGGAAGUCCUAGUGGAGCGGUGAAAUGCGUAGAUAUUAGGAGGAACACCAGUGGCGAAGGCGGCUUACUGGACUGUAACUGACGUUGAGGCUCGAAAGCGUGGGGAGCAAACAGGAUUAGAUACCCGUGUAGUC
rnacentral:rRNA from 1 species